GACCGGUCAGGAGACUGGCUCCAAGCCCAGCUUCCGUGGGUGUGUCCAGGUGAGGGCUAGGACUCAGGGGCACAGAGACCCUGGGGCGUCUUUGCUGCUGGCUCCACCGUUGUCUACCUCAAGCCUGGGUUAGGACACAGGGCUGCAGAAGCCCAUGUGGAGAGGCUUCCACCUCAGGAUCUACAAUGUUCUGAUCUCACCUUUAUAGAUAAUGCCAUUGGGUAGCUAUGCAUAGAAAACUAUGGGAGAAGGACGAAGCCUAUUUCACGCAGGCCUGGAGCUAAGUGUUAGCACACACCUCUCACAGAAGUCUGGGGCAGAAUCCAACUCCCUGAUCCAUAUGGGAUGGGAGCUGAGUGUGGACAAUGACCUGACACGCGCAGGCCUUCCCUCACCAGGCCCUGAAUGUUAGAUGGCUGGGCUCUGCUGGGUUCAGCUGGCAGCUCCCUCCCUAGGACACUGUGCUCUCAAGGGCACUCCUGAAGCCUGGCACAAUGGUGACACUUCUGCAAGUCUGAUGUAAGUAACCUGAGUUCAGCUCCCCGGACCUGAGUGGUCCUUUAUAAGCCUACUGUAUGUGCUAAAUGGCUCAAAGCAGACGGCUUUCGAUUGUCCCCAGUAUUAGAACAAGGGAGAUUCAUUCUAUAGAGAGCGUAUAAGUCACCAGCCUCCCUGUCCUCCCUCACUCGCUCCCUUCUUCAUCCUCGCAUCUGCAGCCGAAAGAUGUGCAGUGCUUUUCAUUGUGCUGGUGGGUAGAUUGCUCCUUGGUCAGCAUGGGGUGGGUGUUCUGAAACGACGACAUCACAUUUCCUAAAGGAGCAGAAGGCGGGCAUGGGGUGGGCGCUUGUGAUGCCAGCCUGGGCUACACAGUGAGUUCAAGGCCAGCCUGAACUACACGGAGAAACCCUGGCUCAAAAAGAAGAAGAAGGCGAAGAAGGAAAAGGAGAGGGAGAGGGACACAGCGAGGGAGAAAGGGAAGGGGAAGGGGAAGGGGAAGAAGGAAUAGGAGCUGGAGGAGGAGGAGGAGGAGGAGGGAGGAGGAGGAGGGGAAGGGGACCCUAGGUCACCCCACGGGUCGGCCGCAUUGUAAAAUGCUGCCCGUGUCCACUGCAGCAAGGGAACAGUGGAUAGGGAAAGUGACGGUCAGAGUCCGGUGGUGCUGGGCUGGGGUCUAGCUCAGUGGUACCGCGCCUGCCUCCCAAAUGCAAGGUCCUGAGUUUGGCCCCUGGUACUGAAAAAAGAGUCCGUGGUGUUUCUCCAAGUUUGCGAAGCUCACCAGGAAGCUGUGUCCCUGGAAAGGACCGGCAGGGGUGCCGGGCGCAGCUUUUGUCUUCGUCUCCUCCCUCCGCUCCCUCUCUGUCUUUUCCCUCACAGCCUGCAUCUCACUCCGUGGCUGCUCCCGCAUCUGAUCCUCUGACUCAUCCUCUUGUUCCUCUCAUUUGUCAAGUCUUUGCCUUUCUGCUUCCUCAGUUUCCUUUCCAGAUUUUUUUUAAGCUCUUGCCCCGUCUGCCCGUCUCCAAGGGCUUCUGUUUGUGUCUUUCCCUCGAUCACUACUUAAGUUGUUUUAGCCUCUGUCAUAGUUCGAAUGCGUCAUCCAAACUUCAGUUGUUAGAAAUCUAGUCCUCAAAUUUGUGCACUGAUGGUAUUUGAAGGUGGAGCCUCUGGGAGGUCACUAGGGUUCGACAAGAUCACCAGGGCGGGGUCCCUGGGGUGGCACU
rnacentral:lncRNA from 1 species